GUGCUUCAUACAUGCAAGUCGAGCGGGGUCCAUCCGGUGGCAACACCGGUGAAGACCUAGCGGCGAACGGGUGAGUAACACGUGAGAAACCUACCCCCAAGUCUGGGAUAACCCCGGGAAACCGGAGCUAAUACCGGAUGCCCUCGUCGGGCCGCAUGGCCUGACGAGGAAAGUUUUUCGCUUGGGGAGGGGCUCGCGAGCUAUCAGCUUGUUGGUGGGGUAAUGGCCUACCAAGGCUUCGACGGCUAGCUGGUCUGAGAGGACGAUCAGCCACACUGGGACUGAGACACGGCCCAG
rnacentral:rRNA from 1 species